CAUGUUUUACAUUGAAAUAUAUAGGAAACAUCUUUAAAAAUCUUCUCAAGAACCACUGGGCCAGAAAAGCUGAAACUUAUGUGGAAGCAUCUUCAAUUAGUGUAGAUUGUAAAUUGUUCAAAUCAUGACCCCCGGGGGUAGGGCGGGGCCACAAUAGGGAAUCCAAGUUUUACAUUGAAAUAUAUAGGAAAAAUCUUUUAAAAAUCUUCUCAAGAACCACUAUGCCAGAAAAGCUGAAACUUAUGUGGAAGUAUCCUUAUGUAGUGUAGAUUGUAAAUUGUUCAAAUCAUGACCCCCGGGGAAGGGCGGGGCCACAAUGGGGAAUCAAAGUUUUACAUAGAAAUAUAUAGAAAAAAUCUUUGAAAAUCUUCUUCUCAAGACCCACAGGGCCAGAAAAGCUGAAACUUAUGUGGAAGCAUCCUGGUAUAAUGUAGAUUCUAAAUUCUUCAAAUAAUGACCCCCGGGGGAAGGGUGGGGCCACAAUGGGGAAUCAAAGUUUUAUAUAGAAAUAUAUAGGAAAAAUCUUUGAAAAUCUUCUUCUCAGGAAACACUGGGCCAAAAAAGCUGAAACAUAUGUGCCCAUGGAAGGAUCUUGGGGUAGUGUAGAUUUCAAAAUGUCUUAAUUAUGAUCAGUGGGGUAGGGUGGGGAUGCAUUAUGUAUAACAAGGGGGAAAUCUGGUAAAGAACAGAAUGGUUAAAGCUUCUCAGGUGAGCGAUGUGGCCCAUGGGCCUCUUGUU